rnacentral:rRNA from 1 species
UACGUAGGCAGCAAGCGUUGUUCGGAAUUACUGGGCGUAAAGAGUGUGUAGGCGGUUCUCUAAGUUCGUUGUGAAAUCUCCCGGCUUAACUGGGAGGGUGCGGCGGAAACUGGAGUGCUUGAGCGCGGGAGAGGAAAGCGGAAUUCCUGGUGUAGCGGUGAAAUGCGUAGAUAUCAGGAGGAACACCUGUGGUGUAGACGGCUUUCUGGACCGUAGCUGACGCUGAGACACGAAAGCGUGGGUAGCAAACAGG